ensembl:lncRNA
CUGGCGUGUCGUUUCUGACUUCCGACAGUAAACGCGGUAGAAGUGUGAAAUUGGGAAGUCCGUUUUACGGAAUGUAUUUCUGCUGAAUGAAGCGCAUGAGGUUUAUGAGAAGAAGAUAAAAACAACACUGUGGUACAGCUACAGCAUUGCAGCUCACGUUCCUGUGCCAGUCAUGAGCCCUAAAUGUUUGUUCACAGUGCCAAUUAUUCCAAGGCCAUUGUUUAAGCACUCUAUUCAUUACAGAAUUAAACAGAACUGACCUAAAUGUUCUGGCACUGAAGUGCCAGGAUGGUGUGUUAAUAGAGAAAUAAAUUCCAGCUCAUUUCAGAGCGUACGGUUCAGGGUUUUUUUUUUCGUUGUUGUUGUUUGUUUUUAAUCCUAUUCUGUGAAAGCUGCUGAUUGCAGCCAAACUGACCACUUGUACAGUAUUGAUCGGAAUGUGUUUCAGUUUCAGUGACAUUCAGCAUUUAUACACAACAAGGAGUUAAUAGGCAAAUAAUAAUAAUAAUAAGGGUACUGUGGUGAAAAUUUGACAUAAAGUAAAGACAAAUGUGCUUUGUACACAAUUUUGGCUCCAGAUUCAAGCUCUGCACCUUUUCCUCUAAGUCCUGGUUAUCACAGGAGUCAGUUGGUUAUCACAGGGGUCAGUUGGUUAUCCCAGGGGUCAGUUGGUUAUCACAGGAGUCAGUUGGUUAUCUCAGGGGUCAGUUGGUUAUCCCAGGGGUCAACUGGUUAUCCAGGGGGUCAGUUGGUUAUCACAAGAGUCAGUUGGUUAUCCCAGGAGUCAGUUGGUUAUCACAGGAGUCAGUUGGUUAUCCCAGGAGUCAGAGAAAACGUGUCUUUUUUUCCCCUUUGUAUCGUAGAGGCUCCUGUAUGUUCUCAGGUUUGUGCAUGUGGACUUUUUCUCCAAUUCAAAUCGAGAGAGUAAGAAGGUCAUCAUGAAAUAUUUCAUUUCUGUACCACAGCAUUAUAGUGUGUGUUUGCUGCUACUACACCGAAAUUGAUUACUGUUCUGUAACAGCCCACCUCUAAUCCCUUUUAUCCCUCUUUUAUUC